UCUGGACCAGUUGGAACCGGUCUAGACCGGUUCAAACCGGCUUCAACCGGUUCAAACCGGUCUGAACCAAUUCCAACUGGUCUAGAGCGGUUCCAACUGGUCUAGACCGGUUCCAACUGGUCUAGU
rnacentral:miRNA from 1 species